AUGGCGGGAGGGGCGGGGCUAGGGGCGGGCGGGGCGGGGCCACGAGGCGGUCCCUCCGGCGCGCGGCGGGGACGCGGAGGCUGCGGCGGUCGGGCGGGAGCGCCCGCGACCAUGUGGGGGGCCUGGGCCGUCCGCUGUCUGGUGAGUGGCUCCCGCGGGGCGGGGGGCGCGGGGGGCGCGGGGGGCUCGGUCUCCUGCCCCGGGGGCGGCUGCGCUUGGCGGGGACCGGCGGCCCGGCUGUCCUCUAGGCGCGCUGUGUCCCGCCGCGCGCGGGUUCGGGUCGGGGGGUGUGCGCGCCGGGAGGGGACCGAGUCCCGGGAGGGGACCGAGCCCGGGGAGGGGAUCGAGUCCCGGGAGGGGACCGAGUCCCGGGAGGGGAUCGAGCCCGGGGAGGGGAUCGAGUCCUGGGAGGGGACCGAGUCCCGGGAGAGGAUCGUGUCCGGGGAGGGGAUCGAGUCCGGGGAGGGGGGUCGAGUCCUGGGAGGGGAUCGAGCCCGGGGAGGGGACCGAGUCCGAGGAGGGGACCGAGCCCGGGGAGGGGAUCGAGUCCCGGGAGGGGAUCGAGUCCCGGGAGAGGGAUCGAGCCCGGGGAGGGGACCGAGUCCGGGGAGGGGACCGAGUCCCGGGAGGAGACCGAGCCCGGGGAGGGGAUCAGUCCUGGGAGGGGAUCGAGUCCCGGGAGGGGAUCGAGCCCGGGGAGGGGACCGAGUCCGGGGAGGGGAUCGAGUCCCGGGAGAGGAUCGAGCCCGGGGAGGGGAUCGACCCUGGGGGAGGGGACCGACUCCGGGGAGGGGACGGAGCCCUGGAGGGGAUCGAGCCCGGGGCGGGGACCCACUCUGGGGGAGGGGGAUCGACUCUGGGGGAGGGGACCGACUCCGGGGAGGGCACCGCGGGCCGCGGGCGCACGUUUCCCACCGGCUCAAAGGUGUAAGGAAGAAAGCGCCCCCGGGGGCAGCGGGGAAACUCGAAGCUCCAGACCUGACUUCUCCGGGCAGAGUCAUCCUGGGGCCGCAGAGCCUUGGAGGCCUGUUUACCUUCCUAUCACCGCGCAGAAAAAGAAACUGCUGUUGUUUCCCUUCCGGGAAUCCUGCCCCCGCGGCCCGUGAGCCGCCCUCAGGCCGGGGCGUCCCUCGGUCCGUCCUCUCCCCCCGCAGCUCCGCCUCCGCCACCCCGGGAGCCGCUGCCCCGACGGCGUCUCGGUGGCCCGUGGAAGACACUUGGUUCAUCUUUGUAGAGAAUAUUUUAUUUAUUCACGAGACACACACAGAGGCGGGGACCCAGGCAGAGGGAGAAGCGGGCUCCCUGCGGGGACCUGCCGUGGGACUCGAUCCCCGACCCGGGGUCACGCCCUGGGCCCGAGGCAGAUGCUCCGCCGGGAGCCCCCGGGCCCCAGACCCCUCCUGGGGGUGCGGAGGCCCUGAGCAUCGCGGGUCCUCACUUUAUCGGGAUCCACCCAAGUUCCCAGCAGGGCGCAGGACGGUGCACAGGAGCCACCUGAGGCCAGUGUCCCAGCCCCCUGGGGGGGGGGGGGGCUUCAUCUGCAUCUUCCAGGGGCCGAAAUGGAGGCCAGAGAGCCCGGGGUUGAGCCGAGAUCACACAGCUGCCGGGAGGGGCAGCGCUGGGGUUGAUUCAGACCCGGCUCCCAAGUGCACCAGCCUGCGCCCGAGGCGAAGGGAAAGAGAUGGUGAUGCCUGGAACGGUCUUAGGAUUGGGGGAAAAGGAGUGGCUCAGCGGUUUGGCGCCUGCCUUUGGCCCAGGGCGUGA
rnacentral:lncRNA from 1 species